GAUGAGUGCGUUUCUGGUGCAUAGUACUGUAACAUAUGACUAGAUUCACACUCAUCCA
rnacentral:pre_miRNA from 1 species